rnacentral:misc_RNA from 1 species
AUCAUUCAUGACCAAGCUCUUAAGGCAGUGAUAAACAAUGUGGAACUAUUGGUCUUCUCUUCUCGUGAACUGCCACCCGAACAUUGGCGUUUUUGCAAGAAAUAUUUUUUAUGGGGUGUAUUUAAACCAAACAGCCAAAAAAUCGCUUCCAAAGCAGUUGACUCUCACCUCACAAUAUAAAGAGAGUGUGAUCCUGUCAAGUGGAAGCCCACUUUUCAAGCACAAGUAAUAGAUUGGUGUCUGAUCCCAGAUGCAAUCAAGCUUCGCAAUGCAAGAGCAACUGAUAGUGUGACAUGAAAGGGAACACCUGAUGCAACAUUACAUGGCUCUUCUCAAGCAAAACCUGGUCUAAAUCUGAGAUGGAGAUGGAGAUAUCGUUGUUAUAGUGAACGGAAGAAGCAACACGUUUGUAAUGGCUCUCAACAGAAAAUUUGAUUGCAUCAUAUUUCAUUACGCC